CUCACAUCAUUUCUGUUUAUGCCCGGGGUGGGGAGAAAAAUCCCAAACCAGCUGUGUAAAUGAGUAUGGAAGAUUAUGACUUCCUGUUCAAAAUCGUUUUAAUUGGCAACGCCGGUGUGGGGAAGACGUGCCUAGUCCGACGAUUCACUCAGGGUCUUUUCCCCCCAGGUCAAGGAGCCACAAUUGGAGUUGAUUUUAUGAUUAAGACAGUGGAGAUCAAUGGUGAAAAAGUAAAGCUACAGAUCUGGGACACUGCAGGACAGGAGAGAUUUCACUCCAUUACCCAGAGUUAUUACCGCAGCGCCAAUGCCUUGAUCCUUACCUAUGACAUUACCUGUGAGGAAUCCUUCCACUGCCUUCCUGAGUGGCUGCGAGAGAUAGAACAGUAUGCCAGCAACAAGGUCAUCACCGUGCUAGUGGGCAACAAGAUUGACCUGGCUGACAGGAGAGAGGUCUCCCAGCAGAGAGCUGAGGAAUUCUCAGAAGCUCAGGACAUGUGUUACCUGGAGACUUCAGCCAAGGAAUCAGAUAACGUAGAGAAACUCUUCCUUGACUUAGCAUGCCGACUCAUCAGAGAAGCCAGACAGAACACACUGGUGAACAAUGUAUCCUCCCCCUUACCCAGAGAAGGGAAAAGCAUCAGCUAUUUGACUUGCUGUAAUUUCAACUAAAGGCUGAGAGAUGAGGAGAAGGAAGAGGAAUCAGCAGCUGCCCUUGAUGGGGCCAUGAGUUGCUAGGGAGCUCUGGCGAUGACUGUGACCCCCACUCUCGGACCUUCUGAAUCCUGUGGGCUCCUGAGCUUACAAAGCAUGCAGGCCAAGGGCCUUGUUCAGCAUUAGCAGAACCUAUCUUUCAUCUUUUUGCAGUCUGGAGCUGGAGCAAGGAGAAAAUUGCACCAAGCGCUCCAUGAUCUGCAGAGCAUGUUGCUUUUGUUUUUUUCAAAAAGCAAGUUAAAGCGCAUUCCUGAACAUAGUCCAGGGGGAAAUAUACUGUAGGAUUCCCUCCUGCACGUCAGCGGGUGCAU